AUCUCAUGGUGCGGACAAGCUAGGACGUACUCCUAAAGUCGCUCCCAAGCUUCAGGAAUGGUCUCAUUGAAUGCUUGCUAAAAACUUGAAAUCCUUCCAUGAAGGG